rnacentral:tRNA from 1 species
CGAAACGUUGCGCAGCUUGGUAGCGCACUUGACUGGGGGUCAAGGGGGCGCAGGCUCAGAUCCUGUCGUCCCGG